rnacentral:siRNA from 1 species
AUCCGGCGACGGCGACGGUGGUUG